GUUUAAAGCUUACACUGCAUUAAUAAUCAGAGUUAAAAGAAUACAGAUUGCAUUGGAAUAUAAAUUUACUGUAAAUUUAAAAUAUAAAUUACCACAAGCUCAAUUGUGAAGUGAGUGAAAACUCAAGUCCUUUUUCGAGUUAGAGAAAAGUUAGGGAAAUGGCCAUAUUUUGCAAUAACACUUUAGUUCUCUAUUUGUUAGGUCACAAUACGUUGCUAUAUCUACUGUAUGUCAAAAAAAAAUAACUUAGAGCCAUUUUUAGAACAGUCUUCUCGUUUUAUGAAGCUCAGGUGCCAUGUACAAUAAAUUCUCUCCCUAUGUAAAUCUGGCAAGUAGAGUCACGUUGACUUUUUGUAGGCUGAUUUGCUACCAAGUGCCUUUGGCGUGGGCUGUUUCGUCUUUUUCUUAAGUGGCUGAGAAAGAGAGACGGGCUCACUUGUCCUGAACAUCUAUAUCAUGAAUUAAAACAUCAUGUGUCUUAUGAAUCCAAUAAAAAAUAUCACUACAUCUCUGUGUCCCCUUUUAUGUCUUUAUGUACCACUUCACAUCCACUCAUGGACAGAGCUAUUUUGUCUGGGUUUACAAACAUGCAGUUAUCAUUUUUUUUUUUUUUUAACAAUAUACUACAGUUG